UUCUGUAUAUUCAUAAGGAAGAAAGAGCCUGAUGUUUGUCAUUUAAAUUACAUGAAGAUAUAUUUGUCUUUUGCAAUUUCAAGGCAUUUAAAGAUAGUAUAAGACCAAAACACAUUAAAGAAGGCAAAGAGAUGAUUUGUCAAAUAUUUUCCAGGAUGCAUAAGUAUAUAAAAAUUGUACUGUGGAGAACAUAAGUACAUUUUGUGCUUAAUCGUUUUUCAACUGAAACACAAUUUAAUCUGACCAAAAUUAAUUGAGCACUAACUAUGGGCAAAGUUUGUAACAGGAAAAUUAUGACUAGUUAAACUUGUCCUCAAAUCCCAAACUCACAUUAUAAAUGACACAACACAAGGCAGACUACUAUGUACAAUGCAAAACGAGCCAUACAACUUCCAACGUUGAAAACACCACAACCAGUGUGUUGAAAGAAGGAGAAUUCCUAAAUAGGCUCCUGAAGACAUGAAAUCAGUGUGGCAAUUAUGAAGGCAUAAGAAUGAAGGUUGGAGAUCUGAAGGUCCUCUCACCUUAUAACUCACAUUUGUAAUGCAUGGCCAGUUUUUUUCAUGCUCUACUGUUCUGAGGCUUCUGUUCGGCUAAUGGAAGAUGCUCAGCAAACAUGUAGGCAGGGGUUGCAGGGACCAGGGAGAUGAGGCCUCUGAGUGGAAGCCCAACAGGACAAAGUUGGACUUAAGUCCUCAGGUAGGAUGACUCCAACAUGUGGAGAUACUCAGUAAUAUUGGGCUUCGGGUUUCUACAAUGACUGGUGGUCACUGACAAAUGCUACAUUGACUUUCUUCCUGUUUCAGGCUUCUUAUCUACUGGUAUGCAUUUCCUGGUAUCACUUCUUUAAUGACAUACUUGCACUGAUGUCCAACCUAAAACAAAGCAACAAUCACAAGUCUGUUUACUUAACAACCCGGGCAGUGCACUUAAAGAUGGGAGGGGAUGUAAUGUCUUAAAGGAGAAAUGUUCCCCAAUGAUGCACAUACCUGAACACUUAGUCUCCAAGUGCACUGCUGGAGGAGGUCAUGGAGCUUUUAGGGAAUGGAGCCUUGCUUAAGAAAGCAUGUCAUGCCGGGCAGUGGUGGUGCACGCCUUUAAUGCCAGCACUUGGGAAGCAGAGGCAGGCGGAUCUCUGUGAGUUCGAGGCUGGGCUGGACCGACAGCCUCCAAAACAAUACAGGGAAACCCUGUCUCGUAAAACCAAAAAAAAAAAAAAAAAAAGAAAGAAAAAAGAAAGCAUGUCACUAGGGGCAUGCUGUAUAGAAUCACCCUAUUUCUAGUUUAUCGUCUCUUGAUGUCUUGUGUGAUAAAGAUGUGAUAUCUCAGGUUUCCUGUUUUGGCUGCUUGAGAGUCCAUUAAUGGACUCUCUCCCUGGAGCCAUAAACCAAGAUAAACUCUUUCUCCAAUUGUUGGUUUGGUCAUCAGAUUUUAUCAUAGUAACACACUAUAGAGUCAACGCAAUCACAAGAACUAAUACAGAAGUUGGUGUCAGAGAGUGGGUUGUCACUGUGAAGAAGCUGACCAUAUUGUAUUUGGAGUGACUGUCAAAGACUUUGAAAUUUGAUUGAAUGCUCUAAGCAGAGCUUAGGAUGGUCCAGCAGGAAGCUAAAAGACAGCAGUACAGAGAUUAGAAGCCUGGAUCAUGAGAUUUCAGGGGGCAAGGAUUUUAUUAGCAACUGAGUUACAGUCCAUCAUGUGAUAUUUAGCAAAGAAUCUGUUUUUCUGCCUUUGCUCUGAGAACUUACCUGAGACUAAUUCACAAAGAGUGGACUAAUUUCUCUGGCAAAGGAGAUUUCAAGGCAACAUAAUGUUGAAUCUGUGGAAUGGUUGUUAUUGAUGACCCUCUUGUAGGAGUACAAUGAAAAAAUGCAAAUAGGGAAAAAAGAAGUGCAAACUUUGUGGUUUGGAGAGAAAAAGAACACUAGGAACCUUAAAGUUACAGAAAAGCCAUGUGCUGAAAGAGGUUUAAUUACUAGUGAGAUUAGCACCAUUAAGGAGUGGUCUCCUGUUUUUCCAUAGGAAAGGGAAAAGGUGCCAUUAGGGCAAGAUCUUACCUAGCAAAGAUUCCAACUUAGAAAUGGAGAAAGCCUAAAGGGUUGCUUGCUUUUAGGAAGCAGUUGUUUAAAGAAAAUGCUAUUGGAAAUGAUUCAGAUGGAGGCAUGUAUCUGUGUGUAGUUGGCAGCCAAACUUAGCAGUGUCUUCAGUAUGGUACUGACUUUGGGGCAAUGAAAGCACAACAGAUUGAGAGGGUUACAAGUUUUUCCUCUGCAGUUUCAGAGAGUCACUGAAUCCAGGCCACCUGUGCUAUGAGAGACCCAUGUGUGAAGCUGUGGAAAUGAAGACUGGGUGACAGUGGCAAACACAGAGACAUCUACUGAGGAGAGUUUGAUACAGGGUGUGGAAUCAGCCAGCCAGGGAGACUUUCCUUGCAAGCAGCAAAGCUGGGGUCGGGGUAGAACUCUCUAAGUCCCUUAAAUCUAAAUCUCCAGAUACUGAACAUGAAGCUACAGGAUUUUUUGCUUUUCCUGCUCAAUUUUGGUUUUGUUUUGCUUCAACAUUCCUCACUAUUGCCCAUUUACCCCUUGGGAAUGGGGAUAUGUAAUUUAUACCACUGUGUGUUGGAAGUAAUUUCUUCUUGAUUGUAUAGGGAGGCCACAAUAAAGAGAUUUCUUUGAGUUUCAGCAGGUACUUUGGACACAGAAACACUUCUGAGACUGUAUAAGACGAUGGGGACCUUUAAAGUUGGACUAGAUACAUUUUUCUUUGUGAUAUGGCCAUGAGCCUAUGAGGGCCUGGGAGUGAAAUGUAGCAGUUUGAAUGAGAAAUGUCCCCCACAAGUGCAUGUAUCUAAACACUUGGUCCCCAGCUAGCGGUGCUGUUUGUGUAGGACAUGGAACUUUGUUACAGCAAUGUACGUCAAAGGUGGUAGGCUUUGAGAGUUUAUGGCCUCACAGUGAUUCCGAUUUAUUGUCUCUUGGCUUCCUGUGUGAUGAAGACAUGAUCUCUCAGUUUCCUGCUACCAAGCCUCCCUACCAUCAUGAACUCUCUCCAAGAAGUAGAUCACCUGUGGGAGAGCAUGGAUGCAGAGUCCACAGAGUUACCAUGGAUGCAUUUAUUUUCAUCCAUCCAUUUGAGAUGGAAUGUGGGGCUGUUUUCAGUACGAUGGAGUAUUUUUCAUAAUCUGAGAGAAGGCUCCUCCCAGGAAGAAGCCGGAGGAACUCACUCAAUAUUCUAAAUGAAGCUGUACUGCUUUGGAGGCUUGAGAACCUUGCCUGAGAUGCCAUCAUUCCUUAAACAUGUCUCUCUGACCAUGGAACUGUUGCAUGCAGAUUGCAAGUGUUACAACAGAGACCCAUGUGAUCAUUGAAUAAGCACACUGACACCGUAAGAGGCUAAGUGACUGUUGACACCCUCCUGUUUCUCUUCUAUUGAUGUCUUUGAGAAUAUAUGGCUAUUUGGAGAUCAACCAUCAUUUGUAACACAUUUAAAUUACAGGAGAGUGAAGUUCCCACUUGCAGUGAGGAGUGACAUACCCCCAAAUAGUACGAAGUCCUGGGGGACCUGGAUCCACAGUUGGGAUCAUGUGCGCCAGACUGGUAAUCAUCAGAAGAAUGCUGAACUUAGGAGGAGAAACAGCAGGGUCAUGCUGCAUCAAAAAUACUGGAAAGAGUCUUCCAGAAAACCCUCUGCGACAUUGCCUACAUGAUGGAUGUUCUGCUGACUGUAGAAGGGCCAACGGGUCAUCAUUAGUCUUUACGGUUACCUCAUGGUCAUAAAAUUUCCCCUCAUAUGCAUUUGAACACUGAUUCUCAAUAAAUGUCAAGAACAAAACAAAAAUCCUAUAUUUGUCACAGUCUUUCAGUGUCUCUCAGAGCACCUCAUCUCUUACCUAAGU